rnacentral:misc_RNA from 1 species
UCAAACUUGGUCAUUUAGAGGAAGUAAAAGUCGUAACAAGGUUUCCGUAGGUGAACCUGCGGAAGGAUCAUUAACAAGCGCCCUGACUUUGUCAGGUGCCUUUGCACUGCCCUCACGGGUUAUGUGUAUACCCUUUGUGAAACUUCUACCUUUGCUUCGGCAGCACUCUCUCCGGAGAGGUAAGGCUGUCAGAGGCCCACAACAAAACCAGUUGAUGAAAUGUCAUGCAGUCUGAUAAUUACUAUUUGAGAAAUCAAAUGUCGUUAAAACUUUCAGCAACGGAUCUCUUGGUUCCCGCAUCGAUGAAGAACGCAGC